GCAGUUUCAUAUAAUUAAUGCAUUCCUUGGUGACUUGUGGGGAAAUUUUGUUAGAUGUCAAUGUGGCCCAUGAUACGUUAUGCCUCAAAAAGUUUGGCAUAAAAAUCAUAUAACAUGGAUAUGACGAAAAUGUGAAUUUGAGAAAAAAAAUGAGGCAAAACUUUCAUGGAUAGAUGUACAACGGGCAUACUAGGGGAGCA
rnacentral:lncRNA from 1 species